GACGAACGCUGGCGGCGUGCUUAACACAUGCAAGUCGAAGGAAGUGGCGCACGGGUGAGUAAUAUAUAGCUAAUCUGCCCCUUGCUGGAGGACAACAGUUAGAAAUGACUGCUAAUACUCCAUAGCAAGGGAUGAGACUAUAUCGUAUCAGCUAGUCGGUGGGGUAACGGCCUACCGAGGCUAGGACGCGUAACUGGUCUGAGAGGAUGAUCAGUCACAUUGGAACGGAGACACGGUACAAACUCCUACGGGAGACAGGAGUAGGGAAUAUUGCGCAAUGGGGGAGACCCUGACGCAGAAACGCCGCGAGGGGGGUGACACUUUUCGGAGCGUAAACUCCUUUUGUUAGUGAAGCGGUACCUAACGAAUAAGCCCCGGCUAACUCCGUGCCAGCAGCCGCGGUAAUAC
rnacentral:rRNA from 1 species